GGGUUGGAGUUAGGGUUAGUGUUGGAGCUAGGGUUAGGGUUGGGCUUGGAGCUAGGAUUUUUCUGAGUGCAAUGAACCAACUCCCGAGUCUCUAGGACGUUCUUAAAAAAAUUUGAUUUUUUCCCAUAGGAAUGCAUGGGUUAGGGUUAGGGUUAGGGUUGGAGCUAGGGUUAGGGUUAGGGUUAGGGUUGGAGUUAGGGUUAGUGUUGGAGCUAGGGUUAGGGUUGGGCUUGGAGCUAGGAUUUUUCUGAGUGCACUGAACCAACUCCCGAGUCUCUAGGACAUUCCUAAAAAAAUUUGAUUUUUUCCCAUAGGAAUGCAUGGUUUAGGGUUAUGGUUAGGGUUAGGGUUGGAGCUAGGGUUAGGGUUAGGGUUAGGGUUGGAGUUAGGGUUAGUGUUGGAGCUAGGGUUAGGGUUGGGCUUGGAGCUAGGAUUUUUCUGAGUGCACUGAACCAACUCCCGAGUCUCUAGGACAUUCCUAAAAAAAUUUGAUUUUUUCCCAUAGGAAUGCAUGGUUUAGGGUUAUGGUUAGGGUUAGGGUUGGAGCUAGGGUUAGGGUUAGGGUUAGGGUUGGAGUUAGGGUUAGUGUUGGAGCUAGGGUUAGGGUUGGGCUUGGAGCUAGGACUUUUCUGAGUGCAAUGAACCAACUCCCGAGUCUCUAGGACGUUCCCUAAAAAAAUUUGAUUUUUUCCCAUAGGAAUGCAUGGGUUAGGGUUAGGGUUAGGGUUGGAGCUAGGGUUAGGGUUAGGGUUAGGGUUGGAGUUAGGGUUAGUGUUGGAGCUAGGGUUAGGGUUGGGCUUGGAGCUAGGAUUUUUCUGAGUGCACUGAACCAACUCCCGAGUCUCUAGGACAUUCCUAA